GGCAGAGCCGGUGCCUUGAGGAGCUGCCUGCAAGAAACAUCAAGGAGGUACAAAACUCUAGCAACGUGGAACAACAGAAACCUGCUCCUUUAGUCACCCAUCAUAAUUGCUGUUGAUCAUGUCCAGCUACUCUGAGAAAUUGGUGUCCUAAGCAAACUGCUUUCAUCAGCUGAGGAGCCGUAUUUUCCAUGCUCUCCCAGUCAAACCAGCUCCUCUUAAUUUCACUCUUUGAUGAAAUGGCAAUGUGUUUUUAGGAGGUGUUUCUCAAAGGGAAGAGCAAUCAUUUGGCACAUGAAAGAGAGCGAUGCCGUGAGAAUAAGGGACAGCAGAGCACAACAUAUAGCAAGACCAGAAGGGACACUAAGGCAGCAAAAAUAGAAGGCAGCUUGGAGUAGAGAAACAAUAAACAGCAGAAUCCAUGGGCAAGGAAGCCAGUAAGGGUCCAGGAGACACAGGGCAGUGGAGGAAGUAAUAAAGGACAAGAGUAUCAGCCAUAGGGUGGUUUCACUGGCUGGCAAACAAGCACAGCAGUGUCAAAAAGAAAGCUGCUGAGUGGCCAUUGGGCUGGGGAGGAAAGGUGGGCUCACAGGAAAGGGCCUUGCACCCUGCAGAGCACAGGGCAGCCCUUGUCCGUCACAGGGCUGGGGUGGUGGGUGACAAAUCUGAACUGAACUGCUGUCAGGAGUGCAUUUUUAAUGUUGAAUUUAGAUAGGAAAGUAAUGAAAAGCAGGAGGAAAACAUUUUAGUACCAUUAAUUAAUUGGUUUCUAUAUUAUAUUUAAAGUCCUUGGGUGUUUUUUUCUAAGACAAUUAACUCAGCUUUGUUUCUAGUAAAUAAAACUCUCCAUUUUGAAGCAGCCCCUUUUAAAUUGAAUGGAAGAGGAAGUCAGACCCCUAAUUCUGACCCCUAGUCUUCAAAUCACCAAUUUUUUCCACAGCAAGAUUAAAUGCACCGCUGUUGUUCUGCCAGCCCUUAACACAAAUUAAUGACUUGAAUUACCUUUCAUCUCACCUUAUAAAUUCUACCUUGAAGCAGCAGAAAGCCCAAGGGCUCUUGCAUAACCAGAUGAAGACAAGUUCACUGCCUCAAAUCCUUCCCUUCUUGCUCUACUUUACAUCAAUUCUUUAUAAGAAGAGGUCUCCAGGGCUAACAAAGGAGCUGGCCAUGCAGCAGAAGGUGCCGUGGGACUUCCAGAGGGAACUAAGACAGUAUUACUAGACAAUAAAAGCCCUGUUUCAGUGAAAAA